rnacentral:rRNA from 1 species
UACGAAGGGGGCUAGCGUUGUUCGGAAUUACUGGGCGUAAAGCGCACGUAGGCGGAUCGAUCAGUCAGGGGUGAAAUCCCAGAGCUCAACUCUGGAACUGCCUUUGAUACUGUCGGUCUAGAGUAUGGAAGAGGUGAGUGGAAUUCCGAGUGUAGAGGUGAAAUUCGUAGAUAUUCGGAGGAACACCAGUGGCGAAGGCGGCUCACUGGUCCAUUACUGACGCUGAGGUGCGAAAGCGUGGGGAGCAAACAGGG